rnacentral:rRNA from 1 species
AUUGAACGCUGGCGGCAUGCCUAACACAUGCAAGUCGAACGAGUGGCGGACGGGUGAGUUAUGUCUGAGAAACUGUCUGAUGGAGGGGGAUAACUACUGGAAACGGUAGAUAAUACCGCAUACCAUCGGAUGUGCCCAGAUGGGAUUAGCUGGUAGGUGGGGUAAAGGCUCACAUAGGCGACGAUCCCUAGCUGGUCUGAGAGGAGGACCAGCAACACUGGAACUGAGACACGGUCCAGACUCCUACGGGAGGCAGCAGUGGGGAAUAUUGCACAAUGGGCGCAAGCCUGAUGCAGCCAUGCCGCGUGUAUGAAGAAGGCCGUCGGGUUGUAAAGUACUUUCAGCGGGGAGGCGGUACCCGCAGAAGAAGCACCGGCUAACUCCGUGCCAGCAGCCGCGGUAAUAC